rnacentral:misc_RNA from 1 species
CAUGUGCAUUAACAUACGGCGGAGCGGCUGGGCAGAGGAGGAGGUUCCCAAGAUGCCAAAAUAAAUGGUAUAUUCGUCUUUUGGCACUUCGCGUGACGUCAUCAGCGUGCUCGGAGGCAACAUGGCGGAUACGUUUGCCAAGUACCAUUGCAACUACUGCGAAGAGGAUGUGAACGGACUGAGGGUGCGGUGCUUGGAGUGCGACGACUUCGAUCUUUGUUUACAGUGUUUCGCUUGCGGUGCUGAGAUUGGAAAGCAUAGAAGCGGACACGCCUAUCAAUUUAUGGCCGGUGUUUUCCAGGACACAGGAAACUUUAGCAUUUUCCCCGGUCAAGGCCAUUGGACUGCCAGAGAGGAGGUCAGAUUGCUGGACGCCAUUGAGCAGUAUGGGUACGGUAACUGGGAGGACAUUGCUCGCCAUAUUGAGACGCGCACGCCGGAUGAAGCAAGAAAUAAGUACAUCAGCAGUUACAUAGAUGGAGCAAUAGGGCGAGCCUCCUGGAAACCAGCGCUAGAAAGAUUGCAGCUCCCCAUCGAGCACACAGUCCCCGACACAGGACCUCUCUCGCCAACUCUAGGGUCUUCGCUGCCCACCCAACCACCCUCCACUGAGGAGAACACCAUAUUGGGAUACAUGCCACACAGAGAUGAUUUUGAAAGGGAAUGGGAUAAUGACGCAGAAACAACGAUAGCACCAUUAUUUAUUCAUCCAGUUGAUGAUGAAGAUGUGGAUAUGGCUCUCAAACUUGCACAGGUUGAUAUGUACAUGCGUCGUCUCCGUGAAAGAUCGAGAAGAAAACGGGUAGUGAGAGACUUCCAAGUAGUUCCACAGUUCUUCAAGAAGGAAAGAGAAAAAGCCCAAGUUCCUCCAAAGAAGAAAAGCAAAGACGACAAGGAGGCAGUGUCUGAAAAACUUAGAACAAUCAGCCAGUUUCAGACUGCAAGUGAACACAAUAAUCUUAUAAACUCCAUUGUUCGAGAAAGAGAGUUAAGAACAAGGAUAAGAGAACUACUAAGAUAUCGUCGUAAUGGAAUUAGACAUGUGGAAGAAUGCCAUGAGUUUGAGGUAGCAAGGUCAAGAAGAGACAGGAAAAAGGAAAACAAAAAGAAGAGUCCGAGUAUUCACAACUUUGCCUUUCAUGCAGGCCAGCCUGCCUCAGAUUCCGACUCAAAUGGACCUCACCGCAAAGUCAAAAGAAGCUCUAGACAAGGAAGUGAAGAAACGACGCAAGAAGUCCGAAAUGUUUAGCAGAAAAAAAAUUCACGCCUCUCGAUACUGGCGGUGGAAGAUGGCUCAGCGGGAGCUUGAGCGGCAGCAGCGGGAACAGCAGCGACAUCUCCAGCUGGGGGAACGGGAGCAACACGCAGCAAGCACAACAGGGGGGGACUCAAGGGGGGAAUGAUGACCCCAUUGCAAUAUCAAUGUUACCAGGCUACCAUCUUUUGUCCCAGAAGGAAAGAAAGUUGUGUGCCUCCUCAAAUAUCAAGCCAUCACAGUACAUUGCUUACAAAGCUGUUUUACUGAAGGACGAAGGCGACAAGCGUCAGGCAGGUGUUGGAUCAACUACUCGAGGGGGUGUAUGCACUCCCCAAGGCUUAGACUCUCACUCUCAACGUAUGAUAACCACUUUCAUGACCCAAGCGGGCUGGAUCUCUUCGUUCACAUGACCACCCUUUAAUUUUGGGGUCUGAGCAGCUCGAUCUACAUCUACAGCACAAGAAUCUUUCAUGUAGAUCUCCAAGGCAUUAUUCUGCUAUGAUGACCUCAAAAUUUUCAGAAAGAUCAAGAUGACAAGUUUGAAAAAACAAGAAAUUAUUGUAAUCAUAUGAAAAGUGAUCGCUAGAAAUGAAGAGAGAAAAUAGGAUAACUGAAGAAAUGAAGGAAAGAAGAAAGAGGACAUUCACAAUGGAAAGUCAAAUCUUGGCUUCCUCCUCCCCCCCCUUUUAUUCUUUACAAAGAGUGAUGCAAUUGGAUGCUUAGCUGGUUCACUUUUAUGCUGAUUACAUAUCGGAGUCUUUUAGGCAUUUUGUAUGAAAGCUUCAUGGUUAUUAAGACAUUUUGAAUACCAGUCAGUAUUCCUUAGGAAAUUGUUAUAUAUAUGUGGAGCUUUCAUAUAGUGAAUGUUAAAUGAUGUUAAUCCAUGGAAAAUCAGUACAAUACUGAUUAGACAAGCCUGCCCUCCCUAUGCUCCUUUUGAUUCAGUAAUGAAUUUUGGUAAAACUGAGUUGCAAUAUUUGCAUAAUGCUUGUACUGGUGAUGGUGAUAUUAUAUUUUAAAUUUUACAUAUUAGCAUCUGCAGGUAUACUUUCUCCUUUUUAGACACAUGCACUUCUUAAGUACCACUAGUAGCUAAGUAUAGUAUAAAAGGAUAUUUGUAAUCAAGAAAGUCAUUGAUUAAACUUACUUUUUAGUGUGGAUAUUGUACCUGUGAACAUGUCCUCUAUCUUUCAAGAUUUUGUUUUCUUUUCUUUCUUUUUUUUUGUCUUGUUUGUAUAAUGGAAACUGAUGAAAAACAGAAAAAGUGAGAUCAAGUGCAGUGCUUAUUGAUUUUUUUUUUCUAGUCAAUAUUGUUUCAAGUUCAUUAACCUUUGAUAAUCAAUUCAAAAGUUUGUAAAGAUUUUUUUUUUAUGUCAGUUACUGAUAUUUUGCUCACCAUUAUAACUUUUUAAUAUUCAGAAGGUGUUCAUCUAAUCAUUGCGUAAUUUGGUCACUGAAAAGAAGGUGCAAACCAAGAAAUAUUGUUUAGUUUAGAUUUAAGGACAUUUAAUUUUUAUACAAAUCUUCUGUACCUGGAUAUUUAUCAUUUUUAAGAGAGACUUGUAGUAUUUCAAA